rnacentral:rRNA from 1 species
GGGGAAUAUUGCACAAUGGGGGAAACCCUGAUGCAGCGACGCCGCGUGAGUGAAGAAGUAUUUCGGUAUGUAAAGCUCUAUCAGCAGGGAAGAAAACAGACGGUACCUGACUAAGAAGCCCCGGCUAACUACGUGCCAGCAGCCGCGGUAAUACGUAGGGGGCAAGCGUUAUCCGGAAUUACUGGGUGUAAAGGGUGCGUAGGUGGCAUGGUAAGUCAGAAGUGAAAGCCCGGGGCUUAACCCCGGGACUGCUUUUGAAACUGUCAUGCUGGAGUGCAGGAGAGGUAAGCGGAAUUCCUAGUGUAGCGGUGAAAUGCGUAGAUAUUAGGAGGAACACCAGUGGCGAAGGCGGCUUACUGGACUGUCACUGACACUGAUGCACGAAAGCGUGGGGAGCAAAC